rnacentral:tRNA from 1 species
GCAUUGGUGGUUCAGUGGUAGAAUCCUCGCCCUGCCACGCGGGGGGCCCGGGUUCGAUUCCCGGCCAAUGCA